GCAGCUAUAGUUCAACUGGAUAGAGCACCACCCUACGAAGGUGAUAAUCUAGGUUCGAGUCCUAGUAGCUGCGCCA
rnacentral:tRNA from 9 species